AAGUGAGAAUGCCGGUGUGAGUAGCGAAAGACGGGUGAGAAUCCCGUCCACCGAUUGACUAAGGUUUCCAGAGGAAGGCUCGUCCGCUCUGGGUUAGUCGGGUCCUAAGCUGAGGCCGACAGGCGUAGGCGAUGGAUAACAGGUUGAUAUUCCUGUACCACCUAUAAUCGUUUUAAUCGAUGGGGGGACGCAGUAGGAUAGGCGAAGCGUGCGAUUGGAUUGCACGUCUAAGCAGUAAGGCUGAGUAUUAGGCAAAUCCGGUACUCGUUAAGGCUGAGCUGUGAUGGGGAGAAGACAUUGUGUCUUCGAGUCGUUGAUUUCACACUGCCGAGAAAAGCCUCUAGAUAGAAAAUAGGUGCCCGUACCGCAAACCGACACAGGUAGUCAAGAUGAGAAUUCUAAGGUGAGCGAGCGAACUCUCGUUAAGGAACUCGGCAAAAUGACCCCGUAACUUCGGGAGAAGGGGUGCUCUUUAGGGUUAACGCCCAGAAGAGCCGCAGUGAAUAGGCCCAAGCGACUGUUUAUCAAAAACACAGGUCUCUGCUAAACCGUAAGGUGAUGUAUAGGGGCUGACGCCUGCCCGGUGCUGGAAGGUUAAGAGGAGUGGUUAGCUUCUGCGAAGCUACGAAUCGAAGCCCCAGUAAACGGCGGCCGUAACUAUAACGGUCCUAAGGUAGCGAAAUUCCUUGUCGGGUAAGUUCCGACCCGCACGAAAGGCGUAACGAUUUGGGCACUGUCUCAACGAGAGACUCGGUGAAAUCAUAGUACCUGUGAAGAUGCAGGUUACCCGCGACAGGACGGAAAGACCCCGUGGAGCUUUACUGUAGCCUGAUAUUGAAAUUCGGCACAGCUUGUACAGGAUAGGUAGGAGCCUUUGAAACGUGAGCGCUAGCUUACGUGGAGGCGCUGGUGGGAUACUACCCUAGCUGUGUUGGCUUUCUAACCCGCACCACUUAUCGUGGUGGGAGACAGUGUCAGGCGGGCAGUUUGACUGGGGCGGUCGCCUCCUAAAAGGUAACGGAGGCGCUCAAAGGUUCCCUCAGAAUGGUUGGAAAUCAUUCAUAGAGUGUAAAGGCAUAAGGGAGCUUGACUGCGAGACCUACAAGUCGAGCAGGGUCGAAAGACGGACUUAGUGAUCCGGUGGUUCCGCAUGGAAGGGCCAUCGCUCAACGGAUAAAAGCUACCCCGGGGAUAACAGGCUUAUCUCCCCCAAGAGUUCACAUCGACGGGGAGGUUUGGCACCUCGAUGUCGGCUCAUCGCAUCCUGGGGCUGUAGUCGGUCCCAAGGGUUGGGCUGUUCGCCCAUUAAAGCGGUACGCGAGCUGGGUUCAGAACGUCGUGAGACAGUUCGGUCCCUAUCCGUCGUGGGCGUAGGAAAUUUGAGAGGAGCUGUCCUUAGUACGAGAGGACCGGGAUGGACAUACCUCUGGUGUACCAGUUGUCGUGCCAACGGCAUAGCUGGGUAGCUAUGUGUGGACGGGAUAAGUGCUGAAAGCAUCUAAGCAUGAAGCCCCCCUCAAGAUGAGAUUUCCCAACUUCGGUUAUAAGAUCCCUCAAAGAUGAUGAGGUUAAUAGGUUC
rnacentral:rRNA from 1 species